rnacentral:lncRNA from 1 species
GCAGUGCAGUCCCAUGGCAGCUGCCCCAGCAGAGAGCUCCGGCAGCCACGGGAAGGGGCUGGGGUUGAGCCGCAGUGACAGCAGCCCUGCCUUGGACUAUUCAGGGGACACCUUUGAGUCCUUCAGCGAGGAGCAGGAGAGUGAAACACCUGGAUCCUGGUGUUCCACAGAGGAUUUGGAGGGGGCAGCUGCGUCAGAGGCUUUGGAAAGCUCAUCAUCACUGGCAGGCCAAAGUCCUGCAGAGGAGGAGUUUGAAGCAGUGGAUCCUGCAGCCAUGGAAAGAGCUGCCAUAGGAAAAUGGAUUGAUGCCAUGGGAAAACGGAUUGAUCUGAAAAAUAAAGACACUGGGAUUAGGUCAGACAAAUCUUCCCUCAGAACUCCUGCUGAGCUGGCUGCUCUCAGCUCUUCCUGCAGCAGCAGCAGCAGCAGGAUGCAGCAGCAGCAGGCAGGGACGGGCAGCAGGCUGCAGUGGGGAGGCCCAGCAAGGCACGCUGAGACACGAGAUUCCUGUGCUGUUCCUGCCCAGCUGAUGAACAGGAUCCUGCUGGAAAACACCAGGGAGGCCGUGAAACAGGUACUGGGGGAGAGAAAGGGAGAUUUUCCCUAAAUUCUGGGAGAACCACUGGAGAAAGAGACAUAAUAACAGGAUCAAGUCAGGCAGACCUUCCUGAUGCCAGGUUCAGGGCUUUGGAAGAGGUUUUGGAUUGACAACCUAAGAUUUAUCCUUCUCCUUUCUUAGACAUCACUGUAGAACUGUUGCUAUCAAAUAACCACCAUAAAAUAUUCUCUGCUGAUAAAAUCCUGAUUUGUGUGAUUGAGAAGGCUGGGGUCAUCAUUUAUUUUAUAAAAAGCCCUG